rnacentral:sRNA from 1 species
GUUGGGCGUGGUGGCACACGCCUGUAAUCCCAGCGGCUCAGGAGGCUGAGGCAGGAGGAUCACAGGUUCAAAGCCAGCCUCAGCAACAGUGAGGAGCUAAGCAACUCAGUGAGACCCUGUUUCUA